GACGAACGCUGGCGGCGUGCUUAACACACGCAAGUCGAACGAAGAGCGAUGGAAGCUUGCUUCUAUCAAUCUUAGUGGCGAACGGGUGAGUAACGCGUAAUCAACCUGCCCUUCAGAGGGGGACAACAGUUGGAAACGACUGCUAAUACCGCAUACGAUCUAAACUCGGCAUCGAGGAUAGAUGAAAGGUGGCCUCUACAUGUAAGCUAUCACUGAAGGAGGGGAUUGCGUCUGAUUAGCUAGUUGGAGGGGUAACGGCCCACCAAGGCGAUGAUCAGUAGCCGGUCUGAGAGGAUGAACGGCCACAUUGGGACUGAGACACGGCCCAGACUCCUACGGGAGGCAGCAGUGGGGAAUCUUCCGCAAUGGACGAAAGUCUGACGGAGCAACGCCGCGUGAGUGAUGACGGCCUUCGGGUUGUAAAGCUCUGUUAAUCGGGACGAAAGGCCUUCUUGCGAAUAGUGAGAAGGAUUGACGGUACCGGAAGAGAAAGCCACGGCUAACUACGUG
rnacentral:rRNA from 1 species